CUUUUCUUUAGCAUCUAAACGCAAAAAGGACAGUUUGCCUUUUGAACUUGAGCUUGCUUAUUCUAAGCUCUUAUCAGAAACCAUCGCUCUCUGUGUAUUGAUUUCUAGCCAACGAUUAACCAGAUGUGACCUUACAGCCUUGAUAACAGCUGGGGAGCUCACGCAACAGAGGGAAGCCUGGUAGUGUAUGAACAAAACAGGUAUUUGCAGACCCCCUCAACCUCUGAGAGUCAGAACUUUUCCACCCAGAGCUAAUAAGGCCACACUACCUGCGGUGUCGGUGAGGAAUACAAGGAAGCAACGCCCUUGACUGUCGGUGGAGGCUCAGUGUGGAACCUGAAGGUAAGGGGUGCUGUCUACCCCUUGCUCUGACAGAAUAGUGUCUUUUAAAAAGUCCAGGGGC
ensembl:lincRNA